AUGUGUGCAUAAAUUUUGAAGUCCAAACUCAAUUGGGACUGGUAGCAGGGAAAACAAUAAAUUCAGUAUGAAUAAUAGUUCUUCACUAUUUUGGCUAUACUCAUUUGUAUAUUUCUGUUUUUUUUAGUUUUUUCAAAUGUAUUUGAUUUUUUACUUGAAAUUUUGCACGUUUGUAGAGCAUCACAACUCGAACAUAUAUACUGUAUUUUUGUAGAUAUAUUCUACAAAAGAAAUUGAAAUUAUAUCUUUCUAAAGCUAUGAUGAUGGUGAGACUGGGACUUGCACGUCUAAAAUAAAUACCUGAGUAUAAUUUUUUUUUCAUAUACACACGAGUAUUUUAGGCCCUUCUCUAAGAUUUUGGAUUGUAUUCCAGCUGAUUCAUUGGUUCUGAUUAAAUCUUGAACAUCCUUUAUGAGUUACUGUUAGAUUAAAUCCCAACCAUAUGUUGGGGUUGCCUUUCACAACUCACACAAGAACAAAGAAGACACAAGAAUUUUGGCGAGUGGCUGCCUCUCACGGCCCCUCCUUUUCUUCUCUCUAUUCUCCUUCUCUCUUUUUAAAUAUAGCUGAUUACAAUGUCUUAAAUAGAGCCAAUCUCAGGCCACUAAUCCCUAAACUCACGCUACCGAGAUCUGCACCUCCUGAAAUCACUCCAGGCUUCGCACGACUCGGCCAGCUCCUAACAACCUAACUAAUCACGACUUCAUCUAAUGCAUGUAGCAUGCAACAACUAGAUAAACACCCAGCCACACCUCGGCCUGUUGCAGUACCUUGACGCCCACGUCUCCGGGAAUUUCUUCAUCAGCUUCGCUCGUCCGGCCGCAUCGUCGCACGGCACGUCGGCAUCUCUUCUUUGUGUUGCAUCGCACAACAUCUCUCGACAUCUCACCUUCAGGCUCAUCUAGCUGAAACUUUGCCGGACUCGUACUCAUCACCCGCAGGCCGCUAGCCGGACGCCUAACU
rnacentral:lncRNA from 1 species